rnacentral:rRNA from 1 species
AUUGAACGCUGGCGGCAGGCCUAACACAUGCAAGUCGAGCGGAUGAGGAAAGCUUGCUUUUCGAUUCAGCGGCGGACGGGUGAGUAAUGCCUAGGAAUCUGCCUGUUAGUGGGGGAUGACUCGGGGAAACUCGGGCUAAUACCGCAUACGUCCUACGGGAGAAAGUGGGGGAUCUUCGGACCUCACGCUAACAGAUGAGCCUAGGUCGGAUUAGCUAGUAGGUGAGGUAAUGGCUCACCUAGGCGACGAUCCGUAACUGGUCUGAGAGGAUGAUCAGUCACACUGGAACUGAGACACGGUCCAGACUCCUACGGGAGGCAGCAGUGGGGAAUAUUGGACAAUGGGCGAAAGCCUGAUCCAGCCAUGCCGCGUGUGUGAAGAAGGUCUUCGGAUUGUAAAGCACUUUAAGUUGGGAGGAAGGGUAUUCACCUAAUACGUGGGUACUUUGACGUUACCAACAGAAUAAGCACCGGCUAACUCUGUGCCAGCAGCCGCCGUAAGAC